rnacentral:rRNA from 1 species
GUGGGGAAUUUUGGACAAUGGGGGCAACCCUGAUCCAGCCAUGCCGCGUGCGGGAAGAAGGCCUUCGGGUUGUAAACCGCUUUUGUCAGGGAAGAAAUCCUUUGGGUUAAUACCUCGGAGGGAUGACGGUACCUGAAGAAUAAGCACCGGCUAACUACGUGUCAGCAGCCGCGGUAAUACGUAGGGUGCGAGCGUUAAUCGGAAUUACUGGGCGUAAAGCGUGCGCAGGCGGUUUUGUAGGAGCGAUGUGAAAUCCCCGGGCUCAACCUGGGAACUGCAUUGGUGACUGCAAGGCUGGAGUGCGGCAGAGGGGGAUGGAAUUCCGCGUGUAGCAGUGAAAUGCGUAGAUAUGCGGAGGAACACCGAUGGCGAAGGCAAUCCCCUGGGCCUGCACUGACGCUCAUGCACGAAAGCGUGGGGAGCAAACAGGAUUAGAAACCCCUGUAGUCC